UAUGGUGAACUGAUUCUCCCUCUGGGUAAUGUCCAGGUUAACUCAGAGGUACAAGCGUUUAAAAAGCUCGCCUCAAGCUGUAUUAGAUCCUGCGAAACGCAAGUGUUUCAAGGCUAAGAGCGACCUUACAUUGGGAUGGAAAACCAAGAUUGAAUCCGGUUUGAGGAUUGAAGUAGGACUAGUGCUGGGGUUAGUCCGGCAAUAGUCCAGCUCGGAGAUAUUUAAAACUCGCGCUUGUUCCUAUUUGAACAUUGGAUUAAGAUCAUAGAAGAAGUAACAUAGAAGAAGUAAAAUCGAGUUUGUUGUGGUUUCAUACGGCACCUGAAUCGGUAACCAGUGGACAGUGCACCUCUAGGUGAUGGAAAGUAGCGCCUCUACAAUCAUCAGAAACUAUACCCUGGCAGCCGAUCAGCUGACAUUCUUUCACUCUGAAAACUAGUUGGCCUGGUAGCUCUCAUGGCACUCUCUAGGACUCGCUUCUUCUAUGUUAAGACGUGGCAACAUCACAAAAUCUGGCUUGACGAGUAGCAAUCUCGUACUUUGAUCUCGACCCACAAACGAGCCUAUUUCAUGUUCUUUCCGUAUCAAAUAUUACAUUUCAAUUACGUGCGAGUAUGAACACCUAACAUGGCGCAAACGAUGGUACAACCUGCAACUGAAACGGCAUAUUCGACUUAGUGUUCCAUUUUGUUCUUGUGGCUUGUGAGAAAAGAAAUGGCUCCAAAAGAAGAGAUGCUCAAAUCAUUUCGAGCAUGUUCAGAUUACUCUUCAGAGACUGGAACGCAUUUUUCGACGAGUGAACCGUCUGGUGAAUGUGGCAAAAGCAUCUCCUGCAAGCGAAACACUUUCAGAAGCCGAGGCUGAAAUAUGCAUUGUUGAGGAAGUUCGUGCCUUAUUUCGGAAGAUUUCGCUUCUUCAUCCGAGUCAUGGAGCCAUCCAUGGACUACUACAUUAACCAAGAUUAAGAGCAAGGUUUAGAUGUCCAUGGGCCAUCCCAAAUUAAUAAUGCUCUCAAACCGGACAAAUUGAUAUUGAGUUCAAAUUUGGCAGAAUUUGAGCGUGGCGUACAAAUUUCGAACUCUAUUAUUCAUCAAAUCGUAUGGACACCUUCCCACUACCCGAACAACAGGGAUAUUUGCGUUCAUGCUUGGAAAUGAAGCUUCAGCAUAUGAUGGAGACUCAAAUUGAAUCUGCCACAGAGAUUAUGGGCGAAAGUGGAUGCUUACACGCACUGCUAGAGAUUUUUCUUCUCAAUGUACCAGUUUUGACGAGACAAUACAAUUUCUUUCGUUGUAACCAAAAAGAAGGAGAAAACUGCCGUGAUUGAUACUUAAGACUGCAGUUGGAGGAGCAAAAGACCGCGUUGGACAAUCUUGAUGAGGAUGAUAUGUUCAUUUUACGGCUAGUCACUGGAACGUGCGAUCAGAAACUUCGAGAAGAGUUCCUACGACAGACCAAACCAACCCGUCAAAACUUGGUGGACGUUGCAGGUGCUCAGGAAACGGCAGGCCAAAGUUGAGUCAAAUAUUUCCUUGGGGACUGAUUACUGAAUCACACGUAACAGCGGCUAAACUCUCAAGUUACCGACAAGAAAAGAAAAAGAGCUUUAAGUCUUAUAUCCACAGAGGUGAAUCAAACAACAAGGUUAAUAAAUGCGGAUCUGAUAGAUCAAGUGUACUUGCUGUGGAUACGAAGAGCACGUAAAGGCUGAGGCUUGUCUUGCCAAGAAAAAAGAUUGCAACUAUUGCAGAAAAAUGGGCCACUUUGGGACAGUGUGUUCCAAGCGUCUAGCCAAAGGAGAAAAUACUUACAAUGAUGGACCUAAGUCUACAAACAAAUCGGAACCAAUUUCGUCAUUAACAGUGUUUGUCCGAUCAAUUUAAGGUUCCCAUGAGACUCCGCAAUCAAGAGUGGAAAUUUAUCCAGACGUGGGUGACCCUUUCAGAAUAAGAUUGUUACCUGAUACGGGGGCUACAGAGAUAUUGAUCUCUGCUGAUGUGGCUCACAUCUAUGGGAUCCAAAUUCGUACUGAGAUGAAAAAAGAAAUCAUUGCGGCAAACAAGUCUCCCUUGGUGUGUCAUGGAUUUGUCAACUUGACUUUGCGGCACCUUGGAAAGUAUGAAACAAAAUUAUCCGCUUUUAUUACCCCUGAUUUACACGAUGAAAUACUACUUUCGUGGCACCAUA